rnacentral:rRNA from 1 species
AUAUAUGAGAACAUGAUGUUGGUUCAGAUCAAAUGCUAUGUAGAGGCAUUACACAUGCAAGUUAUAUGAUUAAAAAUAAAAUUUAAUCAAUAAAUAUAGCGUUCAGGUGAGUGAUAUUGUAUAUGACAAAUAUACAUUCAGAUGUAGGUAUUAGAUAUAAAUCUAGCCAUCGAACUGGAGCCGGCGAUUUUCGUCACAACGGCCACAUAAGCCCGAAAGGGCUUACUCUUAUUAGGAGCAGCAGUGGGGAAUCUUUGACAAUGGUCUAACGACUGAUCAAGCUAUCUACGAGAAGGAUAUUACUAAUAAUAUUUAUAAUAAAAAUACUCUGCCUUUGGGUAGGGUAUACUCGGCUACGUCGGGUAUUAUAUAUAUUAUAUAUAUUAUAAAUAUAUUUAUAUAUUUAUAUAAAAAAAAUAAUAAAAGGUAUAACUAUAAACUUCUAAACAUAUAUAAUAAUGAUAUAUAUGUGAAAGAGUCCUAACUAAAACAUGUGCCAGCAGCUGCGGUUAGACAUGGAGGGCUAGCAUUGUUCAGAAUGGCUUAAAGUACCUGUAGAACUUUUUAUAUUAUAUAUAAAAUAGAAUAAACUUGUUUUUAUUUAUAAAAAAUAAAUAAAAGCGUAAAGGUGAUUAGAAAUAAAGUUAGAGAGAUGAAAUACAGCGAAAACAUUAUGACUGCAUAAAUAUCACUUAAGUUUAUUGACGUUGUGAGGUGAAGGCUACGGGCGCAACAUGGAUUCGAUACCCAUUUAGUCGUAGCAGUAAACUAUGAAUACAAUAAUAGAAAAAUUAAAAUGAAUAGUAUUCCGCCUGACUAGUACGCUCGCAAGGGUGAAAUACAAGACAUUAGACGGUUGUAGUCACGAGCAGUGGAACAUGUCGUUUAAUUGGAUAAUCCUCCUAAAAUCUUACCAUCUCUUGAAUAUUUUACAGGCGUUACAUCGUUGUCGUCAGUUCAUGCCGUGAGGUUUAAUAUUUAGUUAUUUAAUGAACGUAAUCCCUUAUAUUUUAUAUUAAGCAUUGUUGAGAAACAAUGGGAAGUAGGGGCCGAAGACUAAUCAUGAUGACCCUUAUGAGAUGGGCUAUAGACGUGUUACGAUGUUAUUGACAAUUAUAAAUAUAUUUAUAUAUAUUUCUUUAAACAAUAAGAUUAAGACAUAGAUACUUUCAUGGAUUGUAGUCUGAAAUUCGACUACAUGAAGGAGGAAUUGCUAGUAAUCGCGAACUAGAGAGUCGCGGUGAAAUUCUUAACUACUUCGUACUAACCACUCAUCAACAGCAAGAAACUUUUACUUUCCUGUAAAAGAUCUAUUUGAUCUUUUUGAUUGGUUUGUUUACACGUGACCUGCUGUAAGUUGAAAUACGGUUCGGUUAGGGGAACCUGAUCGGGAUUUAUUACUUUU